AUGCUGGCACUGGAGGCAAUUUAUGGAGACAAUUUAAACAUUCUUGGUGAAAAUUCUGUACCACGGUAUUUCCAGAUCUAUGUAUAUUGCGAAAUUCCAGAUGGUAUCAGUGUGUCCGUGGAACUCCCGGGUGUUGAUGAUUACCCAACCAAAUUUAGUGUCGAGCACUUGGCUCCAAUAUCACUGACAUGCCUUAUGCCUCCAUCUUACCCGAGCCAUCAUUCUCCAUACUUUACUCUCGCAGUACAAUGGUUGGAUAAUGUGAAGAUUUCCUCCCUCUGUGACAUGCUCGACUCGCUCUGGGCGCAGCAACCUGGACAAGAAGUUAUUUUUGAGUGGGUGCAAUGGCUGCAGAGCUCUACGCUCUCUCAUUUUGGUUUUGAUGAUGGAAUAGUAAUACGGGAUUCUGAAAGUACGAUGGAUCAUGUGGAUGUUCGCGUUGUUGGAGAGAUUCUGUCUGUAGAGGAUGUUGUUCAGCAGUUGAUCAACUACAAUGAAGAGCAAUGCCAAGAAUCUUUUCUUCAGGGCUUUCAUGUUUGCGUGAUCUGUUUCAGUGAGUACAAAGGCAUCGACUUCAUUAAACUUCCAUGCCGUCAUUAUUUUUGCCGGAAUUGUAUGGAGACAUACUCACAGAUGCAUGUGAAGGAAGGAUCAGUCAUGAAAAUUGUGUGCCCUGAUGACAAAUGCGGAGGGUUUGUUCCUCCUAAUCUACUGAAGAGGCUGCUAGGAGAGGCAGAUUUUGAACGGUGGGAAAGAUUGUUACUUGAAAGGACUCUAGACGCAAUGGCUGAUGUAGCCUACUGUCCAAGAUGUCAGACAGCUUGCCUGGAAGAUGAGGACAACGCCCAGUGCCCCAAGUGCCUCUUCAGCUUCUGCACCCGCUGCAGAGAUCGUCGUCACAUAGGGGAGAGAUGCCUUACUCCAGAAGAAAAACUUCUCUCCUUGCAGGAACGUGAAAAGGUACGCCACUUAAACAAAGGCGAUACUGGACCUAGUAAAUUGGUGGAUGAAAUAUCUAGUAUCAAGGAAAUACUUCGUUCUUGUGUUCCAUGUCCGCAUUGUGGUACCGGCAUCACACGUGUGUCAGGCUGCAACCACAUGCUUUGUAAGAACUGUGGUAAGUUGUUCUGCUAUGGCUGUGGCAAGCCACUAACUCCUGCUCAUACAAGUGAACAAUGCAGAAUCGAUUAUGAGAAGCGGACAGCGAAGGUGGAUUUGGUUGAUGCUAUCAAAGAGCUACAGAAAAAACUGAAAGUGGGAGGAUACAAACCGCAUCCAUGCCCGAAUUGCCACCUGAUAACUUACAAGCUGGGAAACAACAACCAUGUCUUCUGCGAGGGAUGCCAGGUUCAUCAUUGUGCUCUGUGCCGGAAGGUGGUGCGUAAGAGCUCGGAGCACUAUGGCCCUCGAGGGUGCAAGCAGCACACUGCUGACCCCGAGAUCACUCGGAUUAGACCAAAGAAGAACGAUGACUCUCAAUCAGAAUCCUUGUGA
rnacentral:rRNA from 1 species